UGACAAAGCUUUUGAAAGUCAAAAUUCCCAA
rnacentral:piRNA from 1 species